GGGAAUGGGAACAUGGAGGAA
rnacentral:miRNA from 1 species